rnacentral:lncRNA from 1 species
AAUCUGUGAAAUAUUUAACCGCCACUUCUUCCACUUCCGGCUCAGAGUUCACCCAAUUUCCGUCCUCAUUAUGGAGUCCUAUAAUCCUAUUCUGAAUAUGCCUUUGUUUUGUCAAAGCAUGAUAAAAUUUAGUAUUUUAAUCCCCACAUGUAUGCCAUUUAGAUCUAGAUUUUUGCUCCCAAUAUUGUUCCUCAUCACGAUACGCAUCCUGCAAUUUCCGUGACACCUCUAGGACCUCAUCAUUGGUUUUAGAAAAAUCAUUUUGAAUUUCUUCAAGAGCCUGUUGGAGAGAAUCGAUUUUUUUCUUUCCCAUAUGGUGGAUUCUGUUUCCUCCAGGCUGAGAUCUCAUGUCUACACCAAUGAAUUCUAUCCACAAUUCCACUCCUAUCCCCUACACGUCUAGAGUUCCAACCUCGUGUAAUUGAAUCCAUGAGCCCUUCUUCCCCUACCCAUCUCU